CCCGUUCAUACGAGAGGUACUGUCUCUUUAAGAGCUCCUCCUGUAUGACCACAUGUUCUUAUUGACUUCCUCCCGUUCAUACGAGAGGUACUGUCUCUUUAAGAGCUCUUCCUGUAUGACCACAUGUUCUUAUUGACUUCCUCCCGUUCAUACGAGAGGUUCUGUCUCUUUAAGAGCUCCUUCUUCAUGAUCACAUGUUCGUAUUGACUUCCUCCGGUUCAUACAAGAGGUACUGUCUCUUUAAGAGCUCCUCCUUCAUGAUCACGUUCUUAUUGACUUCCCUCCGGUUCAUACGAGAGGUACUGUCUCUUUAAGAGCUCCUCCUUCAUGAUCUUAUUAACUUCCUCUAGUUUAUGAUUAUAUUUUCUUAUUGACAUAUGUUCUUUUCUUGCCUUCCAGUUCAUACGAGAGUUCGGCUCAGGCUGCCUGGUCUACCUGUCGAAGCCCGACGGCUCCUUCCUGCAGCGGAGCGUCGCCGAGCUGCUGCCCGCCUCCUUCGGCCCGGAGGAGCUGAGCAUGAAGAGAGUGUCGGGCUGAGCCUCGUGUUGUUGUUGUUGUUGCUGGAUUAACAGAUGUUUGGUUCAAGGAACACAGAACACGAUGUCAUCCACAUUUUAAUAAAUAAAAGCUUCUAAAAUGA